rnacentral:tRNA from 1 species
UGCGGGAUCCGGAUUUGAACCACCGACCUUCGGGUUAUGACGAGCCCGACGAGGUACCAGGCUGCUCCUACCCCGCA